rnacentral:tRNA from 1 species
GGCUUGUUAGCUCAGCGCUAGAGGUCUGCGCUAUCUACACGGCGGAUAUGAGUUCGACCCUCAUACGAGCCA